rnacentral:lncRNA from 1 species
AUGUGCUCUAGUGGUGCUGAGGGCUUCGCUGCAUCUCAGUUCUCCUGGAGCUGUCAGGGGGACACACAGCGCGGUGGCAUUGCUUGCCGGCAGGGUGGCAUUGCUUGCCAUCACAGUGGCAUCACUUGCCAUCAUGGUGGCAUCGCUGGGAGGGUGGUAUCACUUGCUAUCAUGGUGGCAUCACUUGCCGUCAUGGUGGCAUUGCUUGCUGGCAGGGUGGCAUCACUUGCCAUCAUGGUGGUAUCACUUGCUGGGAGGGUGGCAUCGCUUGCCAUCACAACAGCGCGGUGGCAUUGCUUGCCGGCAGGGUGGCAUUGCUUGCCAUCACAGUGGCAUCACUUGCCAUCAUGGUGGCAUCGCUGGGAGGGUGGUAUCACUUGCUGGCAGGGUGGCAUCACUUGCUAUCAUGGUGGCAUCACUUGCCGUCAUGGUGGCAUUGCUUGCUGGCAGGGUGGCAUCACUUGCCAUCAUGGUGGUAUCACUUGCUGGGAGGGUGGCAUCGCUUGCCAUCACAAUGGCAUCACUUGCUGGCAGGGUGGCAUCACUGGGAGGGUGGUAUCACUUGCUGGCAGGGUGGCAUCACUUGCCAUCAUGGUGACAUCACUUGCCAUCAUGGUGGCAUCACCUGCCAUCACGGUGGCAUCGCUUGCCAUCAUGGUGGCAUCACUUGCUGGCAGGGUGGCAUUACUUGCCAUCACAGUGACAUCACUUGCCAUCACAGUGGCAUCACUUGCUGGCAGGGUGGCAUCACUUGCCAUUACGGUGGCAUCACUUGCUGGGAGGGUGGUACCACUUGCUGGGAGGGUGGCAUCACUUGCCAUCAUGGUGGCAUCACUUGCUGUCAUGGUGGCAUCACUUGCCAUCACGGUGGCAUCGCUUGCCGGCAGGGUGGUAUCACGUGCCAUCACAGUGACAUCACAUGCCAUCAUGGUGGCAUCACUUGCUGGGAGGGUGGCAUCACUUGCUGGCAGGAUGGCAUCCCUUGCCAUCACAGUGCCAUCCCUUGCCAUCACAGUGGCAUCCCUUGCCAUCACAGUGGCACCCCUGGCCGUCCCCCCGGUCGGUAGCCACAGGGCACAGGGGGAAGGGGCUGCUCACUCGCUGGCAGAGGCUGCGUUUGCUUUUCCAACCGAGGCCAUAAACAGGACCCUGUGUCUGAGGCAGCGGGGGCUUCAGGCCAACGGGCCCGAGCGUGUGAUUGUCUGGAGAGGCGGCAGGAGGAGGAGGAGGAGCAGGAUGGACGGGGGGCGUUUGGCACCUGGACAAACUCUUCCUGCUCCCUGCUCAUCGACCGUACAACAUACAACCUUAAUGACACACGUUUGGUCCUUCACUACGUACUUAUAUUAA